UACGAAGGGGGCUAGCGUUGCUCGGAAUUACUGGGCGUAAAGCGCACGUAGGCGGAUUUGUUAGUCAGGGGUGAAAUCCCGGGGCUCAACCUCGGAACUGCCUUUGAUACUGCAAGUCUCGAGUCCGAUAGAGGUGGGUGGAAUUCCUAGUGUAGAGGUGAAAUUCGUAGAUAUUAGGAAGAACACCGGUGGCGAAGGCGGCCCACUGGAUCGGUACUGACGCUGAGGUGCGAAAGCGUGGGGAGCAAACAGG
rnacentral:rRNA from 1 species